rnacentral:lncRNA from 1 species
GUAGUACAGUCUGAGGAAAUUCGGGUUGAAUCCACUUUCGAUGGCCUGGUCAGCAUUCUGCCCAUCGAUUGCCAUGUCAUCCCUCCCAUUAGCAGCUUCUUCGAUCGCCAUCUCUAUCUAACGAAUCUGCUACAAUAACAGUUCAGUGAAACUAAACUUCCUGCGUGUUUAAAAUCUACUGAAACUUCAAUCGAAGGAUUGGACAGCGAGAGAGAGAGAGAUAGAGAGCUUACGAUUGAGUGCUGCGCAGAUUGAAUCGAGCUUCCUGAUGAAGGAUUGACAGCAGGAGAGAGCGAACUGAGUGAAGAAAAUUAGGGAUUGCAAGGAAAGAGAAAGAAAAUUGAAUUUUGUUUUAAGUUCUUCUAGCUAAACUGGCAGG